rnacentral:rRNA from 1 species
AUUGAACGCUGGCGGCAUGCCUUACACAUGCAAGUCGAACGGUAACGCGGGGCAACCUGGCGACGAGUGGCGAACGGGUGAGUAAUACAUCGGAACGUGCCCAGUAGUGGGGGAUAGCCCGGCGAAAGCCGGAUUAAUACCGCAUACGACCUACGGGUGAAAGCGGGGGAUCGCAAGACCUCGCGCUAUUGGAGCGGCCGAUGUCAGAUUAGGUAGUUGGUGGGGUAAAAGCCUACCAAGCCGACGAUCUGUAGCUGGUCUGAGAGGACGACCAGCCACACUGGGAUUGAGACACGGCCCAGACUCCUACGGGAGGCAGCAGUGGGGAAUUUUGGACAAUGGGCGCAAGCCUGAUCCAGCCAUGCCGCGUGCGGGAAGAAGGCCUUCGGGUUGUAAACCGCUUUUGUCAGGGAAGAAAUCUUCUGAGCUAAUACCUCGGGAGGAUGACGGUACCUGAAGAAUAAGCACCGGCUAACUACGUGCCAGCAGCCGCGGUAAUA